rnacentral:rRNA from 1 species
GAUGAACGCUGGCGGCGUGCCUAAUACAUGCAAGUCGAGCGAACAGACGAGGAGCUUGCUCCACUGACGUUAGCGGCGGACGGGUGAGUAACACGUGGAUAACCUACCUAUAAGACUGGGAUAACUUCGGGAAACCGGAGCUAAUACCGGAUAAGAUAUUGAACCGCAUGGUUCAAUAGUGAAAGACGGUUUUGCUGUCACUUGUAGAUGGAUCCGCGCCGCAUUAGCUAGUUGGUAAGGUAACGGCUUACCAAGGGAACGAUGCGUAGCCGACCUGAGAGGGUGAUCGGCCACACUGGAACUGAGACACGGUCCAGACUCCUACGUGAGGCAGCAGUAGGGAAUCUUGCGCACUGGGCGAAAGCCUGACGGAGCAACGCCGCGUUGGUGAUGAAGGUCUUCGGAUCGUAAAACUCUGUUAUUAGGGAAGAACACAUGUGUAAGUAACUAUGCACGUCUUGACGGUACCUAAUCAGAAAGCCACGGCUAACUACGUG